GUGGGGAAUAUUGGGCAAUGGGGGCAACCCUGACCCAGCAACGCCGCGUGAGGGAAGAAGGUUUUCGGAUUGUAAACCUCUGUCCUAUGGGAAGAAGGAAGUGACGGUACCAUAGGAGGAAGCCCCGGCUAACUACGUGCCAGCAGCCGCGGUAAUACGUAGGGGGCGAGCGUUGUCCGGAAUUACUGGGCGUAAAGGGUGCGCAGGUGGCCUGACAAGUCAGAUGUGAAAUACCGAUGCUUAACGUCGGGGCUGCAUUUGAAACUAUGAGGCUGGAGUGCAGGAGAGGGAAGCGGAAUUCCUAGUGUAGCGGUGAAAUGCAUAGAUAUUAGGAGGAACACCAGUGGCGAAGGCGGCUUUCUGGACUGUAACUGACACUGAGGCACGAAAGCGUGGGGAGCAAACAGGAUUAGAUACCCCGGUAGUCC
rnacentral:rRNA from 1 species